AGCGACAUUUAUCCACGAUGAUAUUCAGUAAAUUGUGUGCUCGGCUCCUGAACGCUCGUGCGUCUCUAGGUUUCAAUACUGUGGAUAGAUUUGUGCAACGUGAAAAUGUCAGGUGUAUACACUUUACGUAUUACAAGGAUAAAAACACGAAUACAUCCGGUGAGACUGAAAACAUGAAUAUGUAUCAAGCAAUAAAUCAAGGACUCCGAAGCGCGUUAACGAACGAUCCCGAUGCAGUGAUAUUUGGCGAAGACGUGGCAUUUGGCGGUGUCUUUCGUUGCACGGUUGAUCUUCAAAAAGAAUUUGGCAAGGAUCGCGUGUUCAAUACGCCGCUCUGCGAACAAGGAAUCGCUGGAUUUGGGAUUGGUUUAGCUACUGCUGGUGUAACAGCGAUCGCAGAAAUCCAAUUCGCGGAUUACAUAUUCCCUGCUUUCGAUCAGCUGGUAAACGAAGCUGCCAAGGUAAGAUAUCGAAGCGGCGGUGAAUUCGACUGUGGAAAGCUAACAAUUCGAACACCGUGUGGAGCUGUUGGUCAUGGAGGACUUUAUCAUUCUCAAAGUCCAGAAGCAUAUUUCGCGCAUACGCCAGGUUUGAAGAUCGUCGUGCCCCGCGGAGCGAGACAGGCGAAAGGUCUUUUGUUGAGCUGCAUAGAGGAGCCGGAUCCUUGCAUCAUGUUCGAGCCGAAAAUAUUGUACCGCACGGCGAUCGACGAUGUGCCGACGGCUCGUUACACGAUCGAGAUCGGCAAGGCUGAGGUUGUGAGGGAAGGUGACGCGGUGACACUCGUGGGUUGGGGAACUCAGGUGCACGUACUGCUGGAGGUGGCCGAUCUCGUCCAAGAGAAGCUCGGCGUAUCCUGCGAGGUGAUAGACCUCGUUUCUAUCCUACCUUGGGACGCGGAACUCGUUUGCAAGUCUGCGAAGAAAACGGGCCGAAUCGUAAUAGCGCACGAAGCACCGCUGACGAGUGGAUUUGGAGCAGAAAUAGCCUCGACCAUUCAGGAGGAAUGUUUCCUGCAUCUGGAAGCACCGAUACAGAGGGUGACGGGUUGGGACAGCCCUUUUCCGCACGUCUUCGAGCCGUUUUAUUUGCCCGAUAAAUGGCGAUGCUUCGCGGCUGUCAGAGACAUCCUGAACUACUGAAAUUCAGAGAGGAAUAUUCUACUUGCGAGAUGGAAUAGCCACGAAUGAUUUUUAUGUAGAGACAGACAUUUUGUUCAUUCUUGCUCGUGAGCACCGGAACAGUGGGAUACGACGGAAACCUGUUGCCUAUGCGGACACCCACGCCAGAGGAGCACGUCGAACACCGCAUCGAUUUUUGGCAUUUUCGAUAUAGCAUCGCCGAGUCACGUGCUCGAGGACCGGUCCAGGGACUCCCAUAUCAUGGACUCCGCCAUUUUUCGAAUAAUUAUUAAUGUUAGAAUCUUGGAAUCUUUUUUAUACUAAUAUCACAAGAGAAUUGUAAUCUUAAGGUCGUCUUUCAUUGUCCACUGUACGUGUAUUCUUCAAAUAAAAUGCAUAUAUGUAAUUAUUACUAUUAAGAAGAAGUAGAUACCGAUGAGUUUGAGGAAUUAGGACUUGGGGUACCAAACUAAUAUAUUUGUUUGUAACAAGUCAGACAAUACCACAACUAACAGUUUUCUAUCUUUUCCAGUUCACGACCCUACCUUCUUGUUCC